rnacentral:SRP_RNA from 1 species
GCUGGGCGUGGUGGUGGGUGCCUGUAAUCCCAGCUACUCGGGAGGCUGAGGCAGGAGAAUCACUUGAACCCAGGGAGGCAGAGGAUGCAGUGAGCCGAGAUCGCGCCACUGCACUCCAGCCUGGGCGACUGAGUGAGACUCUGUCUCUA